GACGAACGCUGGCGGCGUGCUUAACACAUGCAAGUCGAACGGAAAGGCCCUGCUUUUGUGGGGUGCUCGAGUGGCGAACGGGUGAGUAACACGUGAGUAACCUGCCCUUGACUUUGGGAUAACUUCAGGAAACUGGGGCUAAUACCGGAUAGGAGCUCCUGCUGCAUGGUGGGGGUUGGAAAGUUUCGGCGGUGGGGGAUGGACUCGCGGCUUAUCAGCUGGUUGGUGGGGUAGUGGCUUACCAAGGCUUUGACGGGUAGCCGGCCUGGGAGGGUGACCGGCCACAUUGGGACUGAGGUACGGCCCAGAAUCCUACGGGAGGCAGCAGUGGGGAAUAUUGCACAAUGGGCGGAAGCCUGAUGCAGCAACGCCGCGUGCGGGAUGACGGCCUUCGGGUUGUAAACCGCUUUCGCCUGUGACGAAGCGUGAGUGACGGUAAUGGGUAAAGAAGCACCGGCUAACUACGUG
rnacentral:rRNA from 1 species